CCUGGCCUCCUCAUCAUCUUUUAGCAGAACCCUUAUUUUUUCUACUACCUUGCACUUUUUCCUCAAGUCUUUCUCUUCAUUUAAGAUGUUCAAAAAAUUCUGGUACCUUUGAAACAUAUCAUGCGUAACGUCUUCUUCCUGUGGAGAUUUUUCCUCCUCUGGAGUUGAACUUUCCAUUUCAUGUUGUUCAGCCUCCUCAAUGGUACCACUCUCCUCUAAAGGAACUACCUUCAUCCCUUGCAAUUUGUCAGAGCUGAUGCUGUCCACUGAUCUUGAAUUUGCAUUCUCUGACUGAAAUAAUGACAGCCUAAAGUAGUUGAGAUCAAGAGAAUCUGGGGGGCCAUCAGGGACUGGAACUCCAUUCUGUUCACACCAACUAGUGACAAGACCCUU
rnacentral:misc_RNA from 1 species